AUUAUAGUUGGUAUACAGUGUUCUGUCAAUUUCUACUGUACAGCCAAGUGACCCAGUCACACACAUAUAUACAUAGUCUUUUUCUCCCAUUAUCCUCCAUCACGUUCCAUCAUAAGUGACUAGAUACAGUUCCCUGAAAAAUGUAUUCAAGUCAUUUUUGAUUUAAACAUCUACUUAUAAUGUGAAGAAUGUGCAUUGGGUAUCUUAGGUAAUAUCGACUUUCUCAUUGCCCAGAUGCAUUUUAAGAUGUCUCUGGGAAUUGUCAUCUUUACAUUAAUGAUCAAGUGAACAGUUAUACAUUCAUAUCAUUAGAACCAGAAGGCUCUUGUACUGAUUAAUGAAUCAUAUUUUUAAGUUCUAUGUAUUCUAUGAUGAAGCAGAGUUUGCAUUCUUAGGACUAUCAUGAUGUUGCUUUAAAAGAUAGCCCUGAGGCUCAAUGGCAUUUGAAAAGCUAUUCCAGAAACGCACUUCGCAUCAGUAGUUCUCAGUGUGUUCCCAGUGCAAGAAGCUUCUGUCUUAGCUGGAAACUUGUGAGAAGUUUGGAAAUGCAGAUGCUUGAACCCCACGCCAGACCCAGGGAAUCAGACACUCUGGAGGACAGGCCCAGCGGUCUGUGUUUUAACGAGCCCUCCGAGGGAUUUCAACGCACACCCGGGGUGGAGAACCACUGCUUUACAGAGUACGCCCUUCUUACUUGGGAUUAUAUAUAUACUUAAGUUGAGAAAGAGCCCUUUUCUUCUUUUUGAUAUUAUGUUGGUUUUUUGUCUAUGUGCUUGUUUAUGUUACUUUGGGUAUUCUGACAAAACUAGGAUUUCUGCCCAUCCUAGUCUGGUUAUGACAUAAGACUUUCUAGGUCCUGAAAAAACUAAAAGUCAUGGGAAACCUUUUAGCUCCAAAGAGCAACCUACUUAAAAGAGGAUGACUAAUUUGAAUAACCUAGCAACUUGGGACUGAACAAAGAACAAUGGCUUAGAGUCAGAGGGGCUUCAGCCCUGCACUAGCAGGUUAAGGAGGGUUUUCUCAAUGUCAGCACUAUCAACAUAAUGGCAUUUGGGGAG
rnacentral:lncRNA from 1 species